UCAAUGGUUCAUUCAUUAGUUAUUGAGAUAUAAAUUUGUUGUAGGAAUUACUUGGAAUUGAUUAGGGUUUGGUUAGGAUUUGGUUUGGAAUUUUUUAGGAUUUGAUUAGGAUUUGAUUAAGAUUUGGUAAGGAUUUUUUUAGGAUUUGGUUAGGAUUUGAUUAGGAUUUGACUAUGGUUUAGUUAAGAUUUAGUUAGAAUUUGAUUAUGAUUUAGGAUUUGAUUUAGGAUUUGGUUUAAGUUAGGAUUUAUUUAGGGUUUGGUUUAGGAUUUAAUUAGGAUUUGGUUAAGAUUUAAGGUUUGAUUUAGGUUAGGAUUUGAUUAGGAUUUGAUUAAAGUUUAUCUAGGAUUUGUCUAGGAUUUGGUUAAGGCAUAUUUAGGAUUUGAUUAGGGCUUGAUUAUGAUUUGACUAGGAUUUGUCUAGGAUUUGUUUAGGAUUUGGUUAGAGCUUAUUUAAGAUUUGAUUGGGAUUUGAUUAGGAUUUUUUUGGAGUUUGAUUAGGAUUUUUUUAGGAUUUGGUUAGGACUUAUUUAGGAAUUGAAUAGGAUUUAAUAAAGGUUUGACUAAGAUUUGACUAAAUUUUGACUAAAGUUUGAUCAAGGUUUGACUAAAUUUUGACUAGAAUUUAAUUAAGAUUUUUAUUUUAGUAUUUUAUUAAGAUUUCUAUUUUUAUAUAUAUAA
rnacentral:lncRNA from 1 species